rnacentral:rRNA from 1 species
UUCGAAGACAACUAGGAUGUUGGCUCAGAAGCAGCCAUACAUUCAAAGAGUGCGUAAUAGCUCACUAGUCGAGAGGUCCUGCGCCGAAAAUGUCCGGGGCUGAAACACCACACCGAAGCUCAGGAAUCACACUUAUGUGUGAUUGGUAGAGGAGCAUUGCAUACGGAAUGAAGCAGUACCGAUAAGGAGCUGUGGACUGUAUGGAAGAGAGAAUGCCGGAAUGAGUAGCGAGAAUGAAGUGAGAAUCUUCAUGGCCGAAUAUCCAAGGUUUCCGGGGUAAAGCUGAUCUGCCCCGGGUAAGUCGGGACCUAAGGCGAGGCUUAAGUGCGUAGCCGAUGGACAACAGGUUUAGAUUCCUGUACUUCCCAUGAACAGAACUGUGGGGACACAGCAGACGGAGCGCGAGCCGGAAAAGGAAAGUCCGGCGCAAGCGGUGAGUGUGUCAGGAGGCAAACCCCCUGUAUAAACACAAGCCGUGAUGCGGAGCGAAAUACAAGUAGCGAAGAGUGCCGAGCCGCUGUCGAGAAAAGCCGCUAUUGUUUUGUGGGAACCCGUACCGUAAACCGACACAGGUGGAUGAGGAGAGAAUCCUAAGGCCGGCGGGAGAAGCAUUGUUAAGGAACUCGGCAAAAUGACCCCGUAACUUCGGGAGAAGGGGUGCCUGCAGAGGUAUCUGCAGGCCGCAGAGAACUGGCCCAAGCAACUGUUUAACAAAAACACAGGUUUAUGCAAAACCGAAAGGUGAAGUAUAUGAGCUGACGCCUGCCCGGUGCUGGAAGGUUACGAGGAGAUGUUAGAGCAAUCGAAGCAUUGAAUUUAAGCCCCAGUAAACGGCGGCCGUAACUAUAACGGUCCUAAGGUAGCGAAAUUCCUUGUCGGGUAAGUUCCGACCCGCACGAAAGGCGUAAUGAUUUGAGCGCUGUCUCGACAAUGCACCCGGUGAAAUUGAAAUACCAGUGAAGAUGCUGGUUACCCGCGCCAGGACGGAAAGACCCCAUGGAGCUUUACUCCAGUUUGAUACUGGGAUUCGGUACUGCAUGUACAGGAUAGGUGGGAGACGAAGAAGGAUGGACGCCAGUCUGUCCGGAGUCGCUGUUGGGAUACCACCCCUGUAGUACUGGGUUUCUAACCAGUUGCCAUGAACUGGCAAUGGGACAAUGUCAGGCGGGGAGUUUGACUGGGGCGGUCGCCUCCGAAAGGGUAUCGGAGGCGCUCAAAGGUUCCCUCAGAAUGGUUGGAAACCAUUCGAAGAGUG